rnacentral:lncRNA from 1 species
GGUGACAUGAUCUUUCGGAUCGAUAAUGGAGCAAAAGUUACUGCAAAAGUCAUUGGCACUUAUCCUUUUUCAUUACCGUCUGGUGUUACAUUGAUUUAAAGGACUGUUAUUAUAUUCUUGUAGCUAGUUAAAAUUUGAUUUCUGUAUCUAUGCUAGCAUAGGAAGAUUUUAAAAUUAGUUUCAAUAAAAAUUUUUGUUUCAUUUAUUUAUGAAAUAAAUUGAUUACACGAGAUCUUUUAAUUGAUAGUCUUUAUCACUUGCAUGUUGAUGCGAAUGUGAACUUAAACGAGAAAUAGUGAGUGCUAUAGGCCAAAAGAGACCCAGAGAUGAAAUUAACUAGAAGUAUUUGUGGCACCAUAGACUAGGCCAUAUUAGAGAGGAUAGGAUAAAUAGACUGAAAAAAGAUGGGAUUCAUGGGUCUCUUAAUCCAGAGUCGUAUCUAACUUAUGAAUCUUACCUUUAAGAAAAGAUGGUCAAUUUAUCUUUUGUAGGACAUGGAGAA